GGCUCAGGACGAACGCUGGCGGCGUGCCUAAUACAUGCAAGUCGAGCGGGGUUCGUUAGAAGCUUGCUUCUAACGAACCUAGCGGCGGACGGGUGAGUAACACGUAGGCAACCUGCCCACAAGACAGGGAUAACUACCGGAAACGGUAGCUAAUACCCGAUACAUCCUUUUCCUGCAUGGGAGAAGGAGGAAAGACGGAGCAAUCUGUCACUUGUGGAUGGGCCUGCGGCGCAUUAGCUAGUUGGUGGGGUAAAGGCCUACCAAGGCGACGAUGCGUAGCCGACCUGAGAGGGUGAUCGGCCACACUGGGACUGAGACACGGCCCAGACUCCUACGGGAGGCAGCAGUAGGGAAUCUUCCGCAAUGGGCGAAAGCCUGACGGAGCAACGCCGCGUGAGUGAUGAAGGUUUUCGGAUCGUAAAGCUCUGUUGCCAGGGAAGAACGUCUUGUAGAGUAACUGCUACAAGAGUGACGGUACCUGAGAAGAAAGCCCCGGCUAACUACGUGCCAGCAGCCGCGGUAAUACGUAGGGGGCAAGCGUUGUCCGGAAUUAUUGGGCGUAAAGCGCGCGCAGGCGGCUCUUUAAGUCUGGUGUUUAAUCCCGAGGCUCAACUUCGGGUCGCACUGGAAACUGGGGAGCUUGAGUGCAGAAGAGGAGAGUGGAAUUCCACGUGUAGCGGUGAAAUGCGUAGAGAUGUGGAGGAACACCAGUGGCGAAGGCGACUCUCUGGGCUGUAACUGACGCUGAGGCGCGAA
rnacentral:rRNA from 1 species